rnacentral:misc_RNA from 1 species
CCGAGUGCGGGCCGCCUCCGGGCGCCCAACCUCCCACCCGUGACUACGUGACCCUGUUGCUUCGGCGGGGAUCCCCCCCGGGGAUCGCCGCCGGGGACCACUGAACUUCUGAUCUGAGCCUGAUGCAGUCUGAGCUUGAAUAAGCAAAUCAGUCA